rnacentral:rRNA from 1 species
CGGCAAUUUGAGCUCCACUUCUGCGCAAGUCCGUCUACGGCUUACAGAGUUAAUCCUGGCCAAGCCUGAGCCAGAUACAGAUACUUUCAGCUACCAAGGUUCUAUCUUACUUCCUUGCACAUCUCGAUGGAGUGCGAGAACGGGCAAGUCGCCGGCAACGGCAAUGGCUUGUGCGUGGCGCAGCCUGGGCGGGCCGACCCCCUGAACUGGGGGAAGGCGGCGGAGGAGUUGUCCGGGAGCCAUUUGGACGCGGUGAAGCGGAUGGUCGAGGAGUACCGUAGGCCGGUGGUGACCAUGGAGGGCGCCAGCUUGACCAUCGCCAUGGUCGCCGCUGUGGCCGCCGGUGGUGAGACCAGGGUGGAGCUCGACGAGUCUGCCCGCGGCCGGGUCAAGGAGAGCAGUGACUGGGUCAUGAACAGCAUGGCGAACGGCACCGACAGCUACGGCGUCACUACCGGCUUCGGUGCCACCUCCCACCGGAGGACCAAGGAGGGCGGCGCUCUCCAGAGGGAGCUCAUCAGAUUCCUUAAUGCCGGAGCCUUCGGCACAGGCGGCCACGAUCAUGUUCUGCCUGCCGCAGCAACAAGGGCGGCGAUGCUCGUCCGUGUCAACACUCUGCUCCAGGGAUACUCCGGCAUCCGCUUCGAGAUCCUUGAGACGGUUGCUGCGCUUCUCAACGCCAAUGUGACACCAUGCCUGCCGCUCCGGGGCACGAUCACCGCCUCCGGCGACCUUGUUCCGCUUUCCUAUAUCGCGGGCCUGGUGACUGGACGGGCAAACUCCGUGGCCACUGCCCCAGACGGCAGCAAGGUUAACGCAGCAGAGGCGUUCAAGAUCGCCGGUAUCCAGCAUGGCUUCUUUGAGCUGCAGCCCAAGGAAGGGCUUGCCAUGGUGAACGGCACAGCAGUGGGCUCCGGGCUUGCGUCCAUGGUGCUUUUCGAGGCUAACAUCCUGAGCCUCCUUGCUGAGGUUCUAUCCGCCGUCUUCUGCGAGGUCAUGAACGGCAAGCCAGAGUACACCGACCACUUGACCCACAAGCUGAAGCAUCACCCUGGGCAGAUCGAGGCCGCCGCCAUUAUGGAGCACAUCCUCGAAGGCAGCUCCUACAUGAUGCUCGCAAAGAAGCUCGGCGAGCUCGACCCGCUGAUGAAGCCAAAGCAAGAUAGGUAUGCACUACGCACAUCACCACAAUGGCUUGGUCCUCAAAUCGAGGUCAUCCGUGCUGCCACCAAGUCGAUCGAGCGUGAGAUCAACUCCGUCAAUGACAACCCACUCAUCGACGUCUCUCGUGGCAAGGCCAUCCAUGGGGGCAACUUCCAGGGUACGCCCAUCGGCGUGUCCAUGGACAACACCAGGCUUGCCAUUGCUGCGAUCGGCAAGCUCAUGUUUGCCCAAUUCUCGGAGCUCGUGAACGACUUCUACAACAAUGGUUUGCCUUCCAACCUCUCCGGCGGGCGCAACCCGAGCUUGGACUAUGGCUUCAAGGGUGCUGAGAUUGCCAUGGCCUCGUACUGCUCCGAGCUUCAGUUCUUAGGAAACCCCGUCACCAACCAUGUCCAGAGCGCGGAGCAACACAACCAAGACGUCAACUCUCUCGGCCUCAUCUCCUCCCGGAAGACCGCUGAGGCCAUUGACAUAUUGAAGCUCAUGUCCUCGACAUUCUUGGUCGCCUUGUGCCAGGCCAUCGACCUCCGCCAUCUUGAGGAGAAUAUAAAGGAAGCCGUCAAGAGUUGUGUGAAGAUGGCAGCCAGGAAAACACUGAGCACCAACAACAAUGGCCAUCUCCACAACGCACGCUUCUGCGAGAAGGACCUGCUGCUCACGAUUGACCGCGAGGCGGUGUUCGCGUAUGCAGAUGACCCUUGCAGCGCUAACUACCCACUAAUGCAGAAGAUGCGUGCGGUUCUCGUGGAGCACGCCUUGGCCAAUGGUGAGGCCGAGCGCAACGUGGAGACAUCUGUAUUUGCCAAGCUUGCCGCGUUUGAGCAGGAGCUCCGUGCAGUGCUACCAAAGGAGGUUGAGGCUGCCCGGACCUCCGUGGAGAACGGCACCGCCGCGCAGCAGAACCGUAUCACCGAAUGCCGGUCGUACCCACUCUACAGGUUGGUGCGCAAGGAGCUUGGGACUGAGUACUUGACUGGGGAGAAGACACGAUCUCCUGGGGAAGAGGUGGACAAGGUGUUUGUCGCCAUGAACCAAGGCAAGCACAUCGACGCGCUGCUGGAGUGCCUCAAAGAGUGGAACGGCGAGCCCUUGCCUAUCUGCUGAACAGAGGAUCAAGAAACUGAAGAGAAGACAGUGCAGAAGGCUUUGGAUCUUUUUAAAUGAUAAAUGAUAAUAUUUUUCCAAUUGUAUUUUCUUAAAUAUUGGUGUUUUGUAAGCUGGAUCAGUCUUAC